AUGACGAGAGAGUGGCUGGUUUCAGAGCCCUGGAGGGAAAAGUGGCGGCAGUGGACGGGCAGAGGAGGGAGGCAAGCUGCCAGCCCUGCAGACACCCCCCCCCACCUCCCCGACCCGCCAGUGGCAGCCACAGGAGGGGAGAAGUCUGUGGACUCCAAGGUAAUUGCUGGGUUUCCAGACCUCAACCUGAUCCGAUCUAGUAACCAACGCACAGCGAGAAACACGACACAAGACUGGAAGAAGUUUAGAACAGCUCCAGCCGAACAGGGAGGCUCGGGUAGCAUGCAGGUACCCCUCCAGCCAGGCCAAGGGGACAUUGCGUGCACACACGUGUACUCACACUCACAAGUUCUCACGCACGUGUAUACACUCAAGGGCUUGCGCACCAUCAGAGGCACAGCGCUCUACAGUUUGCAAAGGGCCUUCUCCUUUAUCAUCUCCCUUGAUACUGAGGGGCAGAGAAACGGUCCCUGGAUUGGCCAAGGAUUCAUUCCAGAGCUGGCACGACAUGGGCAUCCCCAAUACCCUCAAGAGUCCAGGGCCCAUCCCAUAGGCUGCGCUGCUCAGCUUUCCCCCGGGGUGGCAUCCGGGGAGUUGAAUGGCAACAUAAAUGCCAGGAAAGCUUACACCCAGCUUCCCCGGAUGUACGCAUUCGCCCUGCUUCGCUGGCCUUUCGCAAAUCACACCAGGACUCAGGGACUGGAUCUUCUGAGCGGCCACCUGAGAUCUAGCUGGGGGGACAGAGCCAAGAGCCCCCCACUGGCCUCCUCUGUGGAAUCCCUCAGGCCUCUCUUCCUGGUCUCUCCCCACCACAGGCUCCUGGGCGCACGGCCUCCUCCCUGCCCUAAGGGAUGCUCAUCAGCACAUCACACUUACGGGGCCAUCGUUGCUGCCCCCAUUGUAUCAACUGAGGCCCAGAGAGAGAAACUGACUCAAACCUGGGCCUCUGCAGCUCCUUGUCCUGCCCGCACUCUCCCACGCGCCCACCGUGGCCCAGCCCGGACCCCGCGCCUCCGUCUCCUCUGUCCCCCCCCGCCCCCCCGCGCAGCCCAGGCUGCAGCUCCAGGCCAAGGAAGGGCGGAAGACCCCCCAAGGCCGCCCCACUUCCUCUCCAGUCUGCGAUGA
rnacentral:lncRNA from 1 species